rnacentral:rRNA from 1 species
GACGAACGCGGCGGCGUGCCUAAUACAUGCAAGUGGGACGCAAGGAAACACACUGUGCUUGCACACCGUGUUUUCUUGAGUCGCGAACGGGUGAGUAACGCGUAGGUAACCUGCCUAUUAGCGGGGGAUAACUAUUGGAAACGAUAGCUAAUACCGCAUAAUAUUAAUUAUUGCAUGAUAAUUGAUUGAAAGAUGCAAGCGCAUCACUAGUAGAUGGACCUGCGUUGUAUUAGCUAGUUGGUAAGGUAAGAGCUUACCAAGGCGACGAUACAUAGCCGACCUGAGAGGGUGAUCGGCCACACUGGGACUGAGACACGGCCCAGACUCCUACGGGAGGCAGCAGUAGGGAAUCUUCGGCAAUGGACGAAAGUCUGACCGAGCAACGCCGCGUGAGUGAAGAAGGUUUUCGGAUCGUAAAGCUCUGUUGUAAGUCAAGAACGUGUGUGAGAGUGGAAAGUUCACACAGUGACGGAGCUACC